rnacentral:piRNA from 1 species
UGAGAGUAAAUGGUCUUUUUCACUGUUAA